rnacentral:sRNA from 3 species
UGCAUCUGAAGCCUGACGAGGAUGAGAACCUCCGGGGGCAAGAGGUUCGACUCGAGCGCAGUGAGAGAACGUUGCGUCAGCAACGGCCCGCAGGGCGAGCCACGCAGUGGCGAGUCAUCCUCUAUCACCGACCA